rnacentral:rRNA from 1 species
CACGUAGGGGGCGAGCGUUGUCCGGAUUUAUUGGGCGUAAAGAGCUCGUAGGCGGUUUCGUAAGUCGGAUGUGAAAACUCCAGGCUCAACUUGGAGACGCCAUUCGAUACUGCGAUGACUUGAGUCCGGUAGGGGAGUGUGGAAUUCCUGGUGUAGCGGUGAAAUGCGCAGAUAUCAGGAGGAACACCGAUGGCGAAGGCAGGUCUCGUGGGCAUUAACUGACGCUGAGGAGCGAAAGCAUGGGGAGCGAACAGG